UGUACCUCAAUGCGGCUGGGAAUAAUAAGGCAGAGACUGGUUUGAGGUUUUUCAUGGAGAGUGUGCAGAAACAUGGAUGGCCAUCAAGAGUACGCGGUGACCAAGGCGUAGAAAAUGUGGAGAUAGCAAGAUCCAUGUUCACUGUGCGAGGAACAGGUCGUGGCAGCUUUAUAGCUGGGAAAAGUGUGCACAACCAAAGAGUGGAAUGACUAUGGAGAGAUGUGUGAAACGCUGUAACAUCUCAGUACUACAACAUGCUUCACACCUUGGAGGAAGAGGGGUUUGUAGACCUCUCAAAUGUUGUUCACCUCUUCUGUCUUGGGUACGUUUUCAU